rnacentral:misc_RNA from 1 species
UCGAGUUUACGUCACAACCCGUCUCGUGCGAACAUAGGACUGCUAGACUUGUGACUCUCAGGCUGCUUGCUAGGAGUCACCCACUCGUGAGGCACCUCGGGCCAGCCGCGUGAUCCCGGGAGCACGGCGCUUGCCUGCGGAAUUACGCUAAACGCAUUGUAAGACAGUAUAUCUACGAAGUGGUACAAGUAUAUAUAACUAAAUACU